GACGAACGCUGGCGGCGUGCCUAAUACAUGCAAGUCGAGCGCAGGAAGCUGACGGAACUCUUCGGAGGGAAGGCAGUGGAAUGAGCGGCGGACGGGUGAGUAACACGUAAGGAACCUGCCUCAAGGAUUGGGAUAACUCCGAGAAAUCGGAGCUAAUACCGGAUAGUUCAUCGGACCGCAUGGUCCGUUGAUGAAAGGCGCUUCGGCGUCACCUUGAGAUGGCCUUGCGGUGCAUUAGCUAGUUGGUGGGGUAACGGCCCACCAAGGCGACGAUGCAUAGCCGACCUGAGAGGGUGAUCGGCCACACUGGGACUGAGACACGGCCCAGACUCCUACGGGAGGCAGCAGUAGGGAAUCUUCCACAAUGGACGAAAGUCUGAUGGAGCAACGCCGCGUGAGUGAUGAAGGUUUUCGGAUCGUAAAACUCUGUUGUAAGGGAAGAACACGUACGAGAGGGAAUGCUCGUACCUUGACGGUACCUUACGAGAAAGCCACGGCUAACUACGUGCCAGCCGCCGCCGUAAAAC
rnacentral:rRNA from 1 species